GUCAGGUCAGAGCUAGGAAUAACAUCAUAUCCCACAUUCCUGCUUCUAAUGACUGAUCAUUACUUUAAAAUACCCAGGGAUUUGGUUCUUACGCUAAAAUCAUCUUCUCUACAAAUGGUUUCCUAACAAGAGCCACCAAACAGAUGUUGGGUUCUGCUGAACCAGAUCAUAUUCCUAGUGAUCAGUCAGGUGAAUCUGAAGCUUCUAUUUUUGUGGGGUCCAGUGAAUCUCAGCGAACCCUAUCUGAAUAUCCUUACCCUAGCUGCUUCCUGAACCCUGCUAGAAGUGCAGCUGACAACAUAGUCUCUUAGGCAGCUGUUCCUAUGGCCGAUCCCAUGAAGAAACCUGUAGUCAAGCCCUGACUUGAAGACCCAAGAUAUGAGGAUGGUUCAGAGAGGAUUCAAGGGGGCUGGAUUAAAACAGGAUCUGGACACCAUAUUUCUAGGAGGCAUAGACCAAAUGAUUGAGACUGAUGGUGGGUAGCAAGUGCAGCACAUAUUUCACGACUCCAUGAAGCCACGGACUGGAUUGUCUCUCUUGGGAUGAAACUCACAGACCCAGAAGGAAAAAGAGAGUCCACUGUAGUAAACUGAGAAAAUUCACUCAUAGGGGAAGACUGAAGCCUGAGAUCUUUUGGUAGGGCCAGACAGUUUUUUGGAUCCAGCUCCCACCUGGUGCAAAUAAUGUCCUGAUUCCAUCUGAACUUUCUGGGAUUUACCCAAAUACACUCUUACUAUAAUGUACAUCCCCACCCCCUCCACACACACACACUCAGUCUUGUAUCUUGCAAGUAAAAACAGCAGCUGUCUUUAAAUAUCCUCCUUUCUGGCUGCCCUCCUGUCCACAAUGACAGGGUAGAAGACUCAAACAUCAGGGUUUAAACCAAUCUCUACUUCUGGGAAUUAGAAAGGGACUUCAUGGGGUCAGAUUAUCUGAUAGGUGCCAAAGGUAAGGCUCUCUGUACUAUAGUCUAAAGCACCUGGUCCUAGUCACUACAUAUGAAACAGACUACUGAAUUAUCUGGACCAGAGAUCUGAUCUAGGAUGAGAAUCCUUCUGUUCCUAUGACAGUUUGUAAGAGUCCUGCUCCAGCCACCAGAUCCUUAGCCAACAGCAGUAUUAUUGGGUGGGUGCUCUUCUGUUUCUGACCCACAGAGAAGACUGGAACUUCCCCUGGCAGAGCACUGUGUCCAAACUUUCCCAGGCCUGUUCAUCUGUAGGGAAGGUUAUGUUCUCUUUAUAUGCAUAUAUAUAUAUUGCUACUGCAGCUGCUAUUGUUCCUGAAUUGUUUUUUUUCUUAUUAAAUUAUGGAGGAUCUGAAUCAGAAUAAAUCUUCCUUUCC
rnacentral:lncRNA from 1 species